rnacentral:rRNA from 1 species
CCUACGGGUGGCAGCAGUGAGGAAUAUUGGUCAAUGGACGAGAGUCUGAACCAGCCAAGUAGCGUGAAGGAUGACUGCUCUAUGGUUUGUAAACUUCUUUUAUAUGGGAAUAAAAUGCUCCACGUGUGGAUUUUUGUAUGUACCAUAUGAAUAAGGAUCGGCUAACUCCGUGCCAGCAGCCGCGGUAAUACGGAGGAACCGAGCGUUAUCCGGAUUUAUUGGGUUUAAAGGGAGCGUAGGUGGGUUGUUAAGUCAGUGGUGAAAGUUAGUGGCUCAACCGUAAAAUUGCGGUUGAAACUGGAAGUCUUGAGUGGAGUAGAGGUAGGCGGAAUGCGUGGUGUAGCGGUGAAAUGCUUAGAUAUCACGAAGAACUCCGAUUGCGAAGGCAGCUCACUGGGCUACAACUGACACUGAGGCACGAAAGUGUGGGUAUCAAACAGGAUUAGAUACCCCGGUAGUC